rnacentral:rRNA from 1 species
GAUGAACGCUGGCGGCGUGCCUAAUACAUGCAAGUCGAGCGAACGGACGAGAAGCUUGCUUCUCUGAUGUUAGCGGCGGACGGGUGAGUAACACGUGGAUAACCUACCUAUAAGACUGGGAUAACUUCGGGAAACCGGAGCUAAUACCGGAUAAUAUUUUGAACCGCAUGGUUCAAAAGUGAAAGACGGUCUUGCUGUCUCUUAUAGAUUGAUCCGCGCUGCAUUAGCUAGUUGGUAAGGUAACGGCUUACCAAGGCAACGAUGCAUAGCCGACCUGAGAGGGUGAUCGGCCAAACUGGAACUGAGACACGGUCCAGACUCCUACGGGAGGCAGCAGUAGGGAAUCUUCCGCAAUGGGCGAAAGCCUGACGGAGCAACGCCGCGUGAGUGAUGAAGGUCUUCGGAUCGUAAAACUCUGUUAUUAGGGAAGAAAAUAUGUGUAAGUAACUGUGCACAUCUUGACGGUACCUAAUCAGAAAGCCACGGCUAACUACGUG